AUUCCUGCAUUAGCAGCAUUGAUUUGAUAUAUCACCAUAUCCUACUGUUAGCCUAAUGAGCCAGAAAUGGAUUCAUGUUCCCAUAAGAUUGGGCUGAAGUAAAAAUUAAUAGGCAUUUCUUCUGCCAGAAUCUAACCUCUUCUCGUGGCUUGCUUUUCUUAUGAUAAAGAGAAACCCUUGUUCUUCUUGACUCUAAGCAUAGAUACCAGACCUUAGGAAUUCCCAGAGAAUGAUUUCUACAGAUCCAUGACUAUCAAUUAGUGCUUCAACCAGAUGUGGAUGGCAGGCAAGGUUUCUGAGAGUUGAGAGAGCAUGCUUUAGAACCUCCUGAUCUGGUAUGCUUCUGCUGACUGAACGAAUAAGCUUCAGCAAGGUGUCGAUUGCUCCCGCGGACACAAGUUCUUCACAACACUUCUGAGAAUGUUCAGUAGCCAUAUCUGUAAGGAAAAGUUGGACCUAAAGUGUAUGAAUAUCCAUGAUUACUUU